GUAAUAAUCACUUAAUGAUAAGUGAGUUAAAAAAAUAGCAAUAAGUUUGUGCUUUUUUUUGUAAAAAGAUAGAUGUCUUUUAAAACCUUUUUGAUGAAUCUUACAUUAAAUUUUAUAAUAUAAAACAUGAACAUUUUUACAACAGAAUUUCUAAAUUAACCUGAUGCAUAGUGGUAACGCAUGAAUUAAUGAAAACUGAAAGCAGGAAAACAAACAUAUUUAUUACAAAUAAAAGUGAUGAAAAUAUAGCUUAAUUUUCACCUCUUUUCCAUCAACUAAUAGGUUACAUGGGUAAUCCUCUAACCAUUUACUACGAUUUUUGUGUUGCCUGGCAGCAUAGCAUACAGCUAUGGAGGCUUAGCCUUACAUUAUUGUCCAUAUCACACUUUGUGUUUUAUAUAUAAAACUCCUUAAAAACAUCUCAGUGGUUUAGGGGCUUUCCCAUACCAAAACUUGACUUCUUAUAUCAAUUUGUUAAAUCACAACCAUUGAAAACCCAAAUCCUUCUAUGACAAGAGCGAGCACAGAUUCUUCUAUAGGUUGUAAGUUGUGCAUCUAAUAUUUAAUUUUUUUAUCUGAGUAACCUUUGAGGUUUAAAGUUUUAUCUGAGUAAGUAUUGAGGUUUAAAUUUAUCUACACCUACAUAACAUAUACAUUCUACCCCACAAACUGUAAAAUGGCACAUGUGAUGAUGUAACUGUAACAAUACUGGUAAAAUUGCUUUGUUAAAUUCAUCAAAGGUUGUAAAGAAUUUAACCAAGAUCUGAUUUUCCCUACAUUUUCAGACUAGUGAAUGUUUAUAAUUUGAAUACUGUGGAUUCAUUAUUGUUCAUUGGAUACCAAUUUUGGAGGAUUUCGAGGGUAAAGAUGAACCAUGAAAUUAAAUGUUCAACAAAUGACAAAUUUCCUAUAGGUUUUGUACAUAGAAAUCAGCAAACCACGAUUUGAAAUAUGAACGAAAACACAUGGUUUCCUCAAUCCAGGUAAAUUGAUACCCACGAAAAUAAAUGAAUUCACAGUAAACGAGGAAUAAGCUUAUAUGGUUUUUAGUGUUUAAGACACAAAACUUUAUUUAUUAUGCAUGCUAUUGUAUCAAACCACAGAGAACAAAAAUUCAGUUUAUUAGUUUAUAUACUUAAUUAUGUAUAUUAAACAAUGACGUGUUUGUUAACUUAUUAGUGUGUUUAUAUGUAUAAAAGAUGAUUUUCAAUGUUU
rnacentral:lncRNA from 1 species